AACGAACGCUGGCGGCAGGCUUAACACAUGCAAGUCGAACGGUUGUAGCAAUACAGCAGUGGCAGACGGGUGAGUAACACGUGGGAACCUUCCUAGGGGUACGGAACAACUCAGGGAGACUUGAGCUAAUACCGUAUACGUCCGUGAGGAGAAAGAUUUAUCGCCCUUAGACGGGCCCGCGUCGGAUUAGCUAGUUGGUGGGGUAACGGCCUACCAAGGCGACGAUCCGUAGCUGAUCUUAGAGGAUGAUCAGCCACACUGGGACUGAGACACGGCCCAGACUCCUACGGGAGGCAGCAGUGGGGAAUCUUGGACAAUGGGCGCAAGCCUGAUCCAGCCAUGCCGCGUGAGUGAAGAAGGUCUUCGGAUUGUAAAGCUCUUUUGCCAGGGACGAUAAUGACGGUACCUGGAGAAUAAGCCCCGGCAAACUUCGUGCCAGCAGCCGCAGUAA
rnacentral:rRNA from 1 species